UACGAAGGGGGCUAGCGUUGUUCGGAAUCACUGGGCGUAAAAGGGCGCGUAGGCGGCCGAUCAAGUCGGGGGUGAAAGCCUGUGGCUCAACCACAGAAUUGCCUUCGAUACUGGUUGGCUUGAGACCGGAAGAGGUAAGUGGAACUGCGAGUGUAGAGGUGAAAUUCGUAGAUAUUCGCAAGAACACCAGUGGCGAAGGCGGCUUACUGGUCCGGUUCUGACGCUGAGGCGCGAAAGCGUGGGGAGCAAACAGG
rnacentral:rRNA from 1 species